rnacentral:rRNA from 1 species
ACGCUGGCGGCGUGCCUAAUACAUGCAAGUCGAACGCCUUGUGGUUUUAAUGAAUAGCGUGCUUGCACAAUAUGAUUUAAAACAAUGCAAGGAGUGGCGAACGGGUGAGUAACACGUGGGAAACCUACCUCUUAGCAGGGGAUAACAUUUGGAAACAGAUGCUAAUACCGUAUAACACUAAAAACCGCAUGGUUUUUAUUUGAAAGAUGGUUCUGCUAUCACUAAGAGAUGGUCCCGCGGUGCAUUAGUUAGAUGGUGAGGUAAUGGCUCACCAUGACGAUGAUGCAUAGCCGAGUUGAGAGACUGAUCGGCCACAAUGGGACUGAGACACGGCCCAUACUCCUACGGGAGGCAGCAGUAGGGAAUCUUCCACAAUGGGCGCAAGCCUGAUGGAGCAACGCCGCGUGUGUGAUGAAGGGUUUCGGCUCGUAAAGCACUGUUGUAAGAGAAGAAUGUACUUGAGAGUAACUGUUCAAGUAGUGACGGUAUCUUACCAGAGAGGGACGGCUAAAUACGUGCCAGCAGCCGCGGUAAUACGUAUGUCCCAAGCGUUAUCCGGAUUUAUUGGGCGUAAAGCGAGCGCAGACGGUUAUUUAAGUCUGAAGUGAAAGCCCUCAGCUCAACUGAGGAAUUGCUUUGGAAACUGGAUGACUUGAGUGCAGUAGAGGAAAGUGGAACUCCAUGUGUAGCGGUGAAAUGCGUAGAUAUAUGGAAGAACACCAGUGGCGAAGGCGGCUUUCUGGACUGUAACUGACGUUGAGGCUCGAAAGUGUGGGUAGCAAAC